AAAAGAGUAUGGGCAAUUAAGAAGGAAAGAAGAUCAUGGCUGGUGUGGUUAUUGAUAAAUGCAGGUCCCCUUUAGGUACCAGAAAGUUGCUCUGAGGUCUCCCUGGAGCCUUCUCUUCUCCAUGCUGAACAGUCCCAAAUCUCUCACCCUGUCUUCACAGGAGAAGUGCUCCAGCCCUCUGAUUGCCUUUGUGGCCUCCUCUGGACUCAUUCCAACAGGUGCAUGGACUCAGGACUCCAGGAGAGGUGCAUGAAUAUGGUGCAACACACAGGAGCUCCAAAUGACAGCUCAUGUCACAAUAAAUAUCUUUCCUAAGGUUUUGGCAUACCUGAAGGCUUCGGUUGAAGGUGGAAGCUUCAUUUUGGCCUGGGGAUAGCCUCUGAAAGAUGCAGCAACUCCACAGCAGAAUAAUGGCUUAUCUGCACUGCUAAUUUAAAUACCAGAAGGCUGUGGCAUGUCAGUGUAAUACUAUGGUGAAGAUACUUGGGGAAUUACACAAUUACACGUGCCCCACUUAAUAAUGUGACUCGUUAGUCAACAGAGCCUUUGCUGGUGGGAAUUGUCUGCAUCUGCCUUCAUGGAAAAAGUCUUACUUCUUAUCUAACUAUGGAAAAGAGAGAUAUUGUUUUAUUCAGUAAGACUGAUGCCAUCAUUUAAAUGGUGACAGCUGGAGGAUUUCUGGGUGAAAUCUGACAAUGAUUACCAUGAAAUCCAGUGUUCAAGCAAAAACGAUUGCCCAUAUUUUAUAUCUAUAACAUACAAGGAUACAGGCUAUAUCUGACUAGCUUCUUUUGACAAAUCAAAAGUUUACUAUUCAGUAUAGUAACAGUGCUGUAAAGUGUCAUCAGGACAAGGGCAUUAGGUAUUGCAAUGUAAAUGUCCACAUAUAAUCUGACUAAUGCAUGUAUUUUGUAAGCAAUUACUAUCGUUUGUCCUUUGACAGGGCUUUC